rnacentral:lncRNA from 1 species
CAUGACCUAAAGAUUAAGCUUUUUUUUCCUUCCACGAGAAAUAAACUUUUUGCAUAUAAAAACAGUGUCCUCAGCGAUAAAACUACAGUUUAAAUUAAUUUGAAGUUUCUAAUGAAAUAUUGAUUAGUCGAUUUUAAAUCGUGCUUUUUUUAAACGAAAAUUAGUCACUUCUUUUCAAUAAAUCUAAAUUCUAAAUUCAAAGACAAUCGUCUUACACAAAAUCGCAAAAAACAAAAACGGUGCCAUCCCGAGACGAAAUUUUUUCUUUAUCCUGCCAUCUUCUUUAUGAGUCCCGUUUCCAAGACGACACAGAACUGAAGAAACUUUUAUAAUUGUCUUUCUGAAUUUGAAGACAAUCGUCCUGCAGCGAUUUUAUUAGAACGGCUUUAUAUAUAUAAAAUUUAUAUAAACGAUUUAUAUAAACGGUCCGCGCGCCCGUUUUGCUGUCUUCUAUUAAUGUUUAGUAUGAGUAAUUAUUUAGCUGAAAAGAAAUCACCUCAUAAUUUCUUUAUAUGUAUUUCAUUUUCAAUUAAUGAUUAUCAAUAUUAUUUGGAUAGUAUCUACAUGUCCACGUGCAUAUCGAAACAAAUAAAUUUCAAGAGGAUUGGAUCUGGCACUCAACAAUUAAUUUUAUUAUAUUGGAGUAAAAAUAUCUCCAGAAACAAUAAGAGCUUUGGAGCAGUUUUCUGUAUGUGCAAAAGAAGAGGUUACUAUUGCAUUGAAUAUUUCAAUUGAAAUAUUAAAAAACAAAAACUAUACAGGAAAAACAACAAACAAAGAUAUUGGAAAUUAUCUUCACAAUCACCAGAUAAACAAAACCUUUAACCAAGCGUUUGAACAUAAAACAAUUACAUCUGUUGAGGCAGAGCUUUGGUCCGGAUCAGGCAUUAUAGUCGAUUCCAUUCAACUAAUGGAUAUUGUCGACGUCUGGAAUACGAAGGCAAGCUGUAUGGUUAGGAGAGUCAUGGUACUUGCUGUUGGAGAAGAAAAAUUAUCCCAAAUGGUACCUGUUAGAUCAGGAGUAAAGCCGAAAAUUCCGGAUAUCGUUUUCUCAAGCGUCUUUCGAUUUGUCAACGCGAACGUGAAAAAAGGACACAAGAUAACGAUGGAAAAAUAUAAAAGAGUAUUACCUUUAUUUUGCAGUCGUUUGAAUCAUAAAUAUAAGAAAUAAAUAUCUGAAUUUUGUUAUUAUCAAUUAUCAUAAUUCUUAUGGUUUAUAUUGUUAUUAUAAAAUAGUUUUUUUUCACCAAAAAAGUUGUUGAAAAAUAAUAACUGUUCUUGUCAUUUUAUUAUUUUAAAAUCGUUGACUGUUGUUGUUUUCAACUGUUUAAAACUUUUGUUAAAAUGUUGUGAAUUAUAUUGAUUAUAUAAUAAUUGUUUUAUUAAAAUUAUUGUUUGACUUCAAAUAAAAAGUUUCAUUUAAAUUUAUGAAGGGGUUGUUUUUAUAUCCCCAAUAACAGUAUUUAAUGCCCAUUCUAAAAUUUUUAUUUUUCGAUUCAUUAAAAGGAUACGUUAGAUUUCAUUACAAAAAAAAAAAAAACAGUCAAAAAAA